GGAUGCAGACAUUAAAGGGAGAGGCUUAGACCAUUACAUUGGCUCCCUUCCUUCUUUGCACAACCCACCUUCGGGCUGCAGCACAAGAGAGCAUCUCAUGGAGUUGGGAACCCAGGGGGUUCACGAUGAGGGGCCAUCCCACAGAAACAUGGGCCAUCCACCAAGUCUUCCUGCUCCCGGGAGGCCAGGAGCUUGUGGCUUCUCAGGCGGUAGGAUCAAACAGAUGCAGUAAUCACGAGCGUGCACGCCUCCUCAGGAAGCCCCCACAUUCCAGGAGCAGCUCCAAACGCACUGAGUCAUCGCCUCCUGCCUCGGCAUCUCGCACGUACCUCUCGCAAACCACACGUCCCACACCCACAGCACCUCAUGCUGGCAUAUAUAGACCCUGACCUGCUAACAGUCAUUCUCACUUAUCCCCCUCCCACACGGUCCAAACAACUCCAGCUGCCGAGAAUCCCAGUGCU
ensembl:processed_transcript 4930447F24Rik RIKEN cDNA 4930447F24 gene